rnacentral:rRNA from 1 species
GACGUAGGGUGCAAGCGUUGUCCGGAUUUACUGGGCGUAAAGAGCGCGUAGGCGGUCUGUUAAGUGUAGAGUGAAAUCUCUGGGCUCACCCCGGAAACUGCUCUGCAUACUGGCAGACUUGAGGGAAGCAGAGGUUUGUGGAAUUCCUGGUGUAGCGGUGAAAUGCGUUGAUAUCAGGAGGAACACCCAUGGCGAAGGCAGCAAACUGGGCUUCAUCUGACGCUGGAUGCGCGAAAGCGUGGGUAGCAAACAGG